rnacentral:rRNA from 1 species
GAUUAGAGUUUGAUCCUGGCUCAGAAUGAACGCUGGCGGCGUGCUUAACACAUGCAAGUCGUACGAGAACGCUUCAGCUUGCUGAAGCUAGUAAAGUGGCGCACGGGUGAGUAACGCGUGGGUAAUCUACCUCCGAAUUGGGGAUAACGUUGCGAAAGCGACGCUAAUACCGGAUAAUAUCGAGAGGACUUUGGUUUUCUUGAUCAAAGGUGGCCUCUUCGUGAAAGCUACUGUUUGGAGAUGAGCCCGCGUCCCAUUAGCUUGUUGGUGGGGUAAAGGCCCACCAAGGCCGCGAUGAGUAGCUGGUCUGAGAGGAUGAUCUGCCACACUGUAACUGACACACGGUCCAGACUCAUACGUAAGGCAGCAGU